rnacentral:rRNA from 1 species
AAUUUUGGACAAUGGGGGAAACCCUGAUCCAGCCAUCCCGCGUGUAUGAUGAAGGCCUUCGGGUUGUAAAGUACUUUUGGCAGAGAAGAAAAGGUACCUCCUAAUACGAGGUACUGCUGACGGUAUCUGCAGAAUAAGCACCGCCUAACUACGUGCCAGCAGCUGCGGGCAUACGUAGGGUGCAAGCGUUAAUCGUAAUUACUGGGCGUAAAGCGUGUGUAGGCGGUUCGGAAAGAAAUGUGUGAAAUCACAGGGCACAACCUUGGAACUGCAUUUUUAGCUGACGAGCUAGAGUAUGUCAGAGGGGGUAGAAUUCCACGUGUAGCAGUGAAAUGCGUAGAUAUGUGGAGGAAUACAGAUGGCGAAGGCAGCCCCCUGGGAUAAUACUGACGCUCAGACACGAAAGCGUGGGGAGCAAACA